AGCAGCCGCGGUAAUUCCAGCUCCAAUAGCGUAUAUUAAAGUUGUUGCAGUUAAAAAGCUCGUAGUUGAAUUUCGGGAUCAAGGCGUCGGUCGUGCUUCGGUUCGUACUGGCGUCAUUGAUUUCUCCCUUCUGACGAACCAUGAUGCCAUUAACUUGGUGUUAUGGGAAAUCAGGACUGUUACUUUGAAAAAAUUAGAGUGUUUAAAGCAGGCUCACGCUUGAAUACAUUAGCAUGGAAUAAUGAAAUAGGACGUUCGAUCCUAUUUUGUUGGUUUUUAGGAUCAAUGUAAUGAUUAAUAGGGAUAGUUGGGGGCAUUAGUAUUCAAUUGUCAGAGGUGAAAUUCUUGGAUUUAUUGAAGACUAACUACUGCGAAAGCAUUUGCCAAGGAUGUUUUCAUUAAUCAAGAACGAAAGUUAGGGGAUCGAAGACGAUCAGAUACCGUCGUAGUCUUAACCAUAAACUAUGCCGACUAGGGAUCGGAUGAUGUUAAUUAUUUAAUGACUC
rnacentral:rRNA from 1 species